AGGCGGCAAGCGGACGCAGCGGCCCUCAGCAAAGACUUUGUUCAGGGUGAGACAGGGCCACCAGGCCUGGGUGCGGGGCAGCAACAGGAGCUACUCAGGUUCUGGAGGACUGUGAUUCUGCAGGAGUGGGGGUCUCUCUGGAGAUGUGGGAGGGGCCCACUGUGUCCCCUAACAGGGAGGCUGUUAAGACUGGUACACAAGAGGUGAUGAGUGAGGCUUAGGAGCGUGGGUGGCCCAGAGCCAGGAGGCCUGGGUCCUCAUCCCUCUAUUAGCAGAAAGCCUGCAGCCCUGACCCCCCAGGGCCUGGCUGCAGCACCAGCACAGUCAACCUCGGGAGGCUGCCGGCCGCGCUCCUCCUGUCCCUGGAGGGAGGGCACAGCCACCAGCACCUCGCCUGACAGACAGGAAACAGAGAGUCUUAUGGAGGGUGGGUGACCAGGCCCUCGCUGGACGGCAUCUGUCCACAAGGAUCCGGGCUCUUUCCUGCAGGACUCCCCAGACUCUGGUGCUCCCACAGCUCAAGGCUCCAGGAGUGGACAGGGGACCUGCCCACAGCCCAGCACAGUGAUGGGUCAAAGACAAGAAGCUGACCCAGCCCAGCCAGUCCCAGGGCCCAUGCCGGAAGUAAGGAAAGAAAAGCUCUCUUCCCGUGCUGGGUGGCUGAGAUGGCCUCCCAUUUCUGGAGCGGCUGGCAGCCACCCUGGCACCCACCAGGACAGCCUUCUGAAAACAAAGCCGACUCAGAGAAAAGGUUACCUCUCAGCUUCUCCAGGAAGCCCUCUGGUCUUCCUCAUCUCAGCCCUGCCCACUCGUGACUUGUCACUGUCUGGAGAUCUGUCUCUC